rnacentral:rRNA from 1 species
UKACAAGGUUUCCGUAGGUGAACCUGCGGAAGGAUCAUUACAGAGUUCAUGCCCGAAAGGGUAGACCUCCCACCCUUGUGUAUUAUUACUUUGUUGCUUUGGCGAGCUGCCUUCGGGCCUUGUAUGCUCGUCAGAGGCCUAUAAAACUCUUUUUAUUAAUGUCGUCUGAGUACUAUAUAAUAGUUAAAACUUUCAACAACGGAUCUCUUGGUUCUGGCAUCGAUGAAGAACGCAGCGAAAUGCGAUAAGUAAUGUGAAUUGCAGAAUUCAGUGAAUCAUCGAAUCUUUGAACGCACAUUGCGCCCCUUGGUAUUCCGGGGGGCAUGCCUGUUCGAGCGUCAUUUCAACCCUCAAGCACUGCUUGGUAUUGAGCCCUAUGUCAGAGAAUGGCAGGCUCUAAAAUCAGUGGCGGCGCCGCUGGGUCCUGAACGUAGUAAUAUCUCUCGUUACAGGUUCUCAGUGUGCUUCUGCCAAAACCCCAAAUUUUUUUAUGGUG